rnacentral:rRNA from 1 species
UACGUAGGGUGCGAGCGUUGUCCGGAAUUACUGGGCGUAAAGCGCUCGUAGGUGGUUUGUCGCGUUGUUCGUGAAAUCUCACGGCUUAACUGUGGGCGUGCGGGCGAUACGGGCAGACUAGAGUACUGCAGGGGAGACUGGAAUUCCUGGUGUAGCGGUGGAAUGCGCAGAUAUCAGGAGGAACACCGGUGGCGAAGGCGGGUCUCUGGGCAGUAACUGACGCUGAGGAGCGAAAGCGUGGGGAGCGAACAGG